rnacentral:misc_RNA from 1 species
AAGUCGUAACAAGGUUUCCGUAGGUGAACCUGCGGAAGGAUCAUUAACACGAUUUUAAUCCACUUAUCAUCAACCACGUGUCAUGGAGCCGAAAGGCUUCAGUUUUUUCUUUCCCAAUUAUGAACCCUUUGAAACUAUUCAGACUCAAACUCGAAUUCAUUUUGUUUGUCCUCUGGACGCAAAACGAAUCAAGUAAAAAACAAGAAACAACUCUUAGCGACGGAUUUCUUGGCUCCC